CUGAGGCGUGACGACGAGGCACUACGGUGCUGAAGCAACAAAUGCCCUGCUUCCAGGAAAAGCCUCUAAGCAUCAGGUAACAUCAAAUCGUACCCCAAACCGACACAGGUGGUCAGGUAGAGAAUACCAAGGCGCUUGAGAGAACUCGGGUGAAGGAACUAGGCAAAAUGGUGCCGUAACUUCGGGAGAAGGCACGCUGACACGUAGGUGAAGUGAUUUACUCAUGGAGCUGAAGUCAGUCGAAGAUACCAGCUGGCUGCAACUGUUUAUUAAAAACACAGCACUGUGCAAACACGAAAGUGGACGUAUACGGUGUGACGCCUGCCCGGUGCCGGAAGGUUAAUUGAUGGGGUCAGCGCAAGCGAAGCUCCUGAUCGAAGCCCCGGUAAACGGCGGCCGUAACUAUAACGGUCCUAAGGUAGCGAAAUUCCUUGUCGGGUAAGUUCCGACCUGCACGAAUGGCGUAAUGAUGGCCAGGCUGUCUCCACCCGAGACUCAGUGAAAUUGAACUCGCUGUGAAGAUGCAGUGUACCCGCGGCAAGACGGAAAGACCCCGUGAACCUUUACUAUAGCUUGACACUGAACAUUGAGCCUUGAUGUGUAGGAUAGGUGGGAGGCUUUGAAGUGUGGACGCCAGUCUGCAUGGAGCCGACCUUGAAAUACCACCCUUUAAUGUUUGAUGUUCUAACGUGGACCCGUAAUCCGGGUUGCGGACAGUGUCUGGUGGGUAGUUUGACUGGGGCGGUCUCCUCCUAAAGAGUAACGGAGGAGCACGAAGGUUGGCUAAUCCUGGUCGGACAUCAGGAGGUUAGUGCAAUGGCAUAAGCCAGCUUGACUGCGAGCGUGACGGCGCGAGCAGGUGCGAAAGCAGGUCAUAGUGAUCCGGUGGUUCUGAAUGGAAGGGCCAUCGCUCAACGGAUAAAAGGUACUCCGGGGAUAACAGGCUGAUACCGCCCAAGAGUUCAUAUCGACGGCGGUGUUUGGCACCUCGAUGUCGGCUCAUCACAUCCUGGGGCUGAAGUAGGUCCCAAGGGUAUGGCUGUUCGCCAUUUAAAGUGGUACGCGAGCUGGGUUUAGAACGUCGUGAGACAGUUCGGUCCCUAUCUGCCGUGGGCGCUGGAGAACUGAGGGGGGCUGCUCCUAGUACGAGAGGACCGGAGUGGACGCAUCACUGGUGUUCGGGUUGUCAUGCCAAUGGCACUGCCCGGUAGCUAAAUGCGGAAGAGAUAAGUGCUGAAAGCAUCUAAGCACGAAACUUGCCCCGAGAUGAGUUCUCCCUGAGACUUAGAGUCUCCUGAAGGAACGUUGAAGACGACGACGUUGAUAGGCCGGGUGUGUAAGCGCAGCGAUGCGUUGAGCUAACCGGUACUAAUGAACCGUGAGGCUUAACCUUAC
rnacentral:rRNA from 1 species